rnacentral:rRNA from 1 species
UACGUAGGGUGCGAGCGUUGUCCGGAAUCAUUGGGCGUAAAGGGCGCGUAGGUGGCCCCUCAAGCGUGCGGUGAAAGUCAGGGGCUCAACCCCUGAUCGGCCGUGCGAACUGGGGAGCUUGAGCACUGUAGAGGCAGGCGGAAUUCCGGGUGGAGUGGUGAAAUGCGUAGAGAUCCGGAGGAACACCAAAGGCGAAGGCAGUGUCCUGGGGAGUACCUGACGCUCAGGUGCGAAAGCCAGGGGAGCGAACGGG